CUCUGAGUCCCCUUCGGGGUAAGAAGGGUGGGAUAUAAAUGUAGUAAAUAAAUGUAGUAAGUAAAUAAAUAAUUAAUUUUAGACUUAGGCUCACCCAAAUUCUGAAAUGACUUGAAGGCACACAACAACAACAAACAACAAUCCGAAUUAACUUGACUAUCUCAUUGGCCAGUAGCAGGCCCAUACUUUCCAUUGAAAUCCUGAUAGGUUUAUGUUGGUUAAGAUUGUUUUCAUUUUUAAAUAUUGUAUUGUUCUCUCGUUGUUGUUGUUGUUUUGCACUACAAAUAAGACAUGUGCAGUGUGCAUAGGAAUUGGUUCAUAUUUUUUUUUUUCAAAUGAUAAUUCGGCCCCUCAACAGUCUGAAGGAUUGUAGACCGGCCCUUUGCUUAAAAAGUUUGAGGGCCCCUGGCUUUAACUAAUGACUAUAUUCUUUAUUGCAUAAGGUAAGUGCCACUCCCUUUUCUCUCCACUAUGUUAUUCACCAGUCCCUAAUUGUGGGACUGCUUCAGAGUUUCAAGUAAGCUCUGAAACAUUCUCUGACUUUUAGGAACAUGGAGCAAAAUUGAGUGAACUCUUUACAGCUGCCCUCUCCAGCUUGUUACUGAUUAUCUACAAGGACCUAUCUGAGUAAACUCCACACAUGAGGGGCAGCUGCUCUGCAUUCAUUGGUUGCUCAAGGGCAGAAAAAAAAUCUUGGUAAACACCUCACCUCUGAUAAGUGGAAGAGAACCUGGAACUGUGCUAGGAAGCUCGCUAGCUGCUUGCAGCAGAGUGAAGAUUUGGAUCAUUCUUCCUGAAUUACUCUAAAGAUACAUAUAUCGGUGUAGCAUUCACAAGUAUCCCAAAGGAGUUUUAGUCUGCAUGGAUUUUAUCAGUACAAUGAGAGCAACUUGAGUCACUUCUGGAGUGAGAGAAUUGGUCAUCUGCAAGGACGUUGCCCAGGGGACGCCCGGAUGUUUUGAUGUUUUUACCAUCCUUGUGGGAGGCUUCUCUCUCAUGUCCCCGCUGGAGCUGAUAGAGGGAGCUCAUCUGCACUCUCCCCGGGUGGGAUUCGAACCUGGCAGCUUUCAGUGGAGUCCUGGACAUCUAUCUGAAAGACGUGUCCUGAGAGAACCACUGGAGAAUGCGAGAGGAACUCAGGGCGGCUUACAAUGAAUCCUGGCCAGAAGUGCCUGUACAUCAUGUGAAGGGCUCCAUGCAGAAAAGGGAGAGGAAGCAGCAAACGAUGGACAAAUUGGCCCAUCUGAUGAGACUGAAAGAGGCUUCCCCCAUGUGAUGAGGUAGGGAGGAAGCCGAGAUUGUAUGGGGUGUGGGGUGACAGGUCCCUCCUGGGUGGGAGCCGCUGGCAUCACCAAAAUCCUCAGUGAUCCAUAGUGAUUCCAUCAAUGCGUGUAAGGAGGUCCUAGAAUACUAGGGGUGUAUCUUGACAGAGUAGAAACAGCAAUGGUGAUCCAGAGUGGGGUACUCUGGAUCAGAAUUGUCAGGGGCUACACACCACAUCAUUGAGUUUGUUCCAAAGCUGGGUGAAGGCUAAACUGCAUUGUUCUGAGUUGCCCGCACAGCGGGAUGAUGGCUUCAUAGCCAAAUGGCACUGGAACCAGUUCAGUACCGUUCAACUUCAACCCAUACCUUGCCCCUUUCAAUCUCCUAUUUGUGGAGCUCACGAAGCACAGAAAUUGCACUGUUUCUCACAUCACACCUGGAGUGAUGAUAUCCAAAUCGACGAAGUAACAUAAGAAAGGGGAGGGGUAGGAGGAAUCAUUCCAGCUUUCCUCCCAUCCCUUCACUGAUCCCAUCACUUGAGUUAUCCUUCCUCUAGUUGCUGAGCAAUAAACAGUGCAAUUUUUAGCCUAGCAAGCACCACAAACUGCAGAUCAAGGGGGCAAGGUAGUUGUCAUUUUGUUCCUAUACAUUUUGUUCCUGAGUUUUAUGUCAUGACAAACCGACAAAUGGUAUCUCUGUUUAGCUGUACAAGAAUUUGGUCCUGCCUCAGUGCUUGAAACCCAAUAAAAUGAAUUAAUUCAUAUCAAAAAUGUCUCAAACUUUUCUCAAUAAGCAGAUAGUCAUAUUUUUUCCAUUUUAUUCUUUCAGUGGUGAUUGAGUGUAAUUAAAUAUGUGUCAUAAAGGCCUCUUCUUUCCAUUGGGAAAGAGAUAAGAAAAAAUAUAUCAGUUUUCUCUACACCAUAUAUUGAAGAACAGGUAGAAUGCUUGGAGAUUCUUGGCUUUUUAAAAAUGACACAUAAGGGAGGACAUGAUUUGUUGUUCCUGUUCCUGCAAUAUGCCUUCAAGUUGAUAUUGAAUUAUGUGAACCCGAUCACAGGGUUUUCAUGUAAAGAUUGAUUCACAUUGCCAACCUUUCAGAAUAAGAGUAUUUGUUUUGUCUGUGUUCACUCAAUAGUUUUCUAUAGCUGAGAUGAUGAUGAUACUGAUGAUCAUGAUGACAAUUAUACCGUACAUUCAGAAGAGAAUUAAAAUGGAAAGGCACACAUAAAACUGAAAAGGGUUAAGGAAAUUGUACCUUUCUCCCUGAUUGCACACUACUGCCAAAGGUUACUUUUUCUGGGGAAAUGUAAGACCAAUGGUUUUCUUUUCCAUCUCUAAUCCCAUCAGUAUGGAAGAAGACAUCAAGAAAUGAUACAUGGACAAUUUUGUUCUUCCUUAUGCACAUAUCUGUCUGUGACAGAAGAUCUUUUAAAGAAUUCUUAUCCACUUCAUUCUGUUAGUUACUGUGCAAGUUUGAUGAAAACCAAAUUCCCUCUCCUCAUCUUCAUUGCAGUUGGUGUAGUUUGGGGCUAUUAACUUUAUUGAAGAGAUGUCCCAGCUGUUUAAAAUAAAACCAAAGUGACUUUCCCCCUUCUCUGUUUUGCUCUGACAGCAAUAUGAACUGUUCCAGGUGCUUUUACCUUUGCUCACAGAGAGUGAGAGAAGCUAAUGAGUCUCAGGAAAUUUAACAUGAUAAUUUUCCCUGUGUUUGAAAAUAAUAAAAUCGGAGAUUGAGCAGACUCCAACAAGCAAAACCUUUGGGGAAUAGCCUGCUCCGCAAAGAAACCCAUCUCCAGCACUCUCACAUUUUAAGAUGACAUUUCAUAUAUUAUGCAGAAAUCAAAUAGAAAUCAAUUGGUCUUGUAUUCCCUGUUCCCCUAUUUAGCAAGAAGGCGAAAAGGUGCAUUACAAGAGAGUUGGUAAUUCAGGAUGAAUAAUGCUGCCAACAAAUUUCCAGCUUCCCUCCGUCUCUAUAGGAUAAUGGUUUGGGGCUUUCUAUCGUUCUCUGUCUCUGCUCCCAUAAUAUAACUAGGGCCGCUUCCACACAGCUGUAAAAAAUCCCACAUUAUCUGCUUUGAACUGGGUUAUAUGGCAGUGUGGACUUAGAUAAUCCCCUUCAAAGAAGAUAUUGUGGAUUAUCUGCCUUGAUAUUCUGGGUUAUAUGGCUGUGUGGAAAGGCUCCUGACACAAGACAGCUAUGUCUGCCUGAUGCUCAACCCUCACUGGUGCCUUUCCACUGUCUGUCCCUCUGUUAUACAGUAGAGUCUCACUUAUCCAACAUAAACGGGCCGGCAGAACGUUGGAUAAGCGAAUAUGUUGGAUAAUAAGGAGGGAUU